AUUGAACGCUGGCGGCGUGCCUAACACAUGCAAGUCGAGCGGUAACAGGCGUAGCAAUACGUGCCGACGAGCGGCGGACGGGUGAGUAAUGCUUGGGAAUCUUCCCGGUAGUGGGGAACAACCAACCGGAAAGGUUGGCUAAUACCGCAUACGUUCUACGGAAGAAAGCGGGGACCGUAAGGCCUCGCGCUAUCGGAUGAGCCCAAGUCGGAUUAGCUAGUUGGCGGGGUAAUGGCCCACCAAGGCGACAAUCCGUAGCUGGUCUGAGAGGACGACCAGCCACACUGGGACUGAGACACGGCCCAGACUCCUACGGGAGGCAGCAGUGGGGAAUAUUGGACAAUGGGGCAACCCUGAUCCAGCGACGCCGCGUGUGUGAAGAAGGCC
rnacentral:rRNA from 1 species